UACGUAGGGUGCAAGCGUUAAUCGGAAUUACUGGGCGUAAAGCGUGCGCAGGCGGUUUUGUAAGCCAGAUGUGAAAGCCCCGGGCUUAACCUGGGAAUGGCAUUUGGGACUGCAAGGCUUGAGUGCGGCAGAGGAGACUGGAAUUCCUGGUGUAGCAGUGAAAUGCGUAGAUAAUCAGGAGGAAUACCGAUGGCGAAGGCAGGUCUCUGGGCUGACACCUGACGCUCAUGCACGAAAGCGUGGGGA
rnacentral:rRNA from 1 species